rnacentral:rRNA from 1 species
GAUGAACGCUGGCGGCGUGCCUAAUACAUGCAAGUCGAGCGAACAGAUGAGGAGCUUGCUCCUCUGACGUUAGCGGCGGACGGGUGAGUAACACGUGGAUAACCUACCUAUAAGACUGGGAUAACUUCGGGAAACCGGAUCUAAUACCGGAUAAUAUAUUGAACCGCAUGGUUCAAUAGUGAAAGACGGUUUUGCUGUCACUUAUCGAUGGAUCCGCGCCGCAUUAGCUAGUUGGUAAGGUAACGGCUUACCAAGGCGACGAUGCGUAGCCGACCUGAGAGGGUGAUAGGCCACACGGGAACUGAGACACGGUCCAGACGCCUACGGGAGGCAGCAGUAGGGAAUCUGCCGCAAGGGGCGAAAGCCUGACGGAGCAACGCCGCGUGAGUGAUGAAGGUCUUCGGAUCGUAAAACUCUGUUAUUAGGGAAGAACAAAUGUGUAAGUAACUAUGCACGGCUUGACGGUACCUAAUCAGAAAGCCACGGCUAACUACGUG